rnacentral:rRNA from 1 species
CCUACGGGGCGCAGCAGUGGGGAAUAUUGCACAAUGGGGGAAACCCUGAUGCAGCGACGCCGCGUGAGUGAAGAAGUAAUUCGUUAUGUAAAGCUCUAUCAGCAGGGAAGAAAAUGACGGUACCUGAGUAAGAAGCCCCGGCUAACUACGUGCCAGCAGCCGCGGUCAUACGUAGGGGGCAAGCGUUAUCCGGAUUUACUGGGUGUAAAGGGAGCGUAGACGGCAGUGCAAGUCUGGAGUGAAAGGCGGGGGCUCAACCUGGGAACUGCUUUGGAAACUGUAUGGCUGGAGUGCUGGAGUGGUAAGCGGAAUUCCUAGUGUAGCGGUGAAAUGCGUAGAUAUUAGGAGGAACACCAGUGGCGAAGGCGGCUUACUGGACAGUAACUGACGUUGAGGCUCGAAAGCGUGGGGAGCAAACAGGAUUAGAUACCCUUGUAGUC